UGGGGAAUAUUGCACAAUGGGCGCAAGCCUGAUGCAGCCAUGCCGCGUGUAUGAAGAAGGCCUUCGGGUUGUAAAGUACUUUCAGUCGGGAGGAAGGUGGUAAGGUUAAUAACCUUAUCAAUUGACGUUACCGACAGAAGAAGCACCGGCUAACUCCGUGCCAGCAGCCGCGGUAAUACGGAGGGUGCAAGCGUUAAUCGGAAUUACUGGGCGUAAAGCGCACGCAGGCGGUUUGUUAAGUCAGAUGUGAAAUCCCCGGGCUCAACCUGGGAACUGCAUCUGAUACUGGCAAGCUUGAGUGUCGUAGAGGGGGGUAGAAUUCCAGGUGUGGCGGUGAAAUGCGUAGAGAUCUGGAGGAAUACCGGUGGCGAAGGCGGCCCCCUGGACGAAGACUGACGCUCAGAUGCGAAAGCGUGGGGAGCAAACAGG
rnacentral:rRNA from 1 species